rnacentral:rRNA from 1 species
UACGAAGGGUGCAAGCGUUACUCGGAAUUACUGGGCGUAAAGCGUGCGUAGGUGGUUUGUUAAGUCUGUUGUGAAAGCCCCGGGCUCAACCUGGGAAUGGCAAUGGAUACUGGCAAGCUAGAGUGCGGUAGAGGGUAGUGGAAUUCCCGGUGUAGCGGUGAAAUGCGUAGAGAUCGGGAGGAACACCAGAGGCGAAGGCGGCUACCUGGACCAGCACUGACUCUGAUCUGCGAAAGCUAGGGGAGCAAACAGG